GCAUUGUAGUUCAGUGGUAGAAUUCUUGCCUUCCAUGCUGGAGACCCAGGUUCAAUUCCCAGCCAACGCA
rnacentral:tRNA from 1 species